GUGAAUAUGGUUUUAUUUAGCAGCAGCUCUCUUACACGGUUUACUCAAACUAGCUCUUUUACAUUGUCCACCCUGUCUCAACUGCUUAGUCUGGUGGCUCCCACAUACACCUGUGCAGCAGGCUUUCCCUUGCCUUCAGGGUCAGCAGCUUAACUCUUUUUCUCUCUGGGCAUGAGCAAGCCAAGCUGUGUCCUGGCUCCCUCCUGUCCAUCUGUAAAAUGGACAGCUUUGGCUCUCUCUGUCUCUCUUUCUCUGGGUGCCAGUGCAUCCCCCAUGUCAAGCCAUGUUGAGCCGAGCCAAGCCCCCAGGUCCCCCGUACAGCAUUAACAGGGCAGACAAUAGUGGCUCAGAGCCAAGUAUGAACUUAACACAAACAAGUUAUAUAACAAGUGAAGGUGUGCGCCUGCGCACCAAACUCACUGAGUUACGCAGGCCUUGGAUAUCCACCUCGGCCUGUUCCUUGACCAAAGCACAUCCAUAUGUACCUUACACUCCACCCCCUAGGCCAAACGAGACAUAUGCCUUGGACACACAGGUUUGAUCCACAGGUUUGGCAUACAGGCCUGACAUAUAAACUUUGGGCAUGCAGGCCCAAUACAUACACAGGCUUGACACAUAAGCCUGACACACAAGCCUUGGGCACACAAGCCCGAUACAUACAUAAGCUUCUGGGUACGCAGGCCCCUUGCAUACAUAAGCUAUGAUAAACUGCCCAGCUACUGGCGCAGAUUACCUUAGGUGUCACCUCCUUGGUGAUUACCAUUCACACUGCCUUGAGUUUAGCUUAUUAACCACUUUGCCCAUACCUGCUUUCAAACCAUAUGAUGUCAGUACUAGCCUGGACUGCACCAGCAGUCCAGGCAGCAGUAGCACCCCAGCUGGACCCACUUGUACACGAUACCCUAUUAGGAAUGGGGGGGUGUGCUUCCUAAUGGUGAAGGCUUAGGUCUAGGGGUGCCUCAGGCCUCAUGGCCUCAUCUUGCAUUAGGACUACUACUCAGGAGGCUGAGGCAGGAGAAUUGCUUGAACCCAGGUGGCGGAGGUCGCAGGGAGCUGAGAUCGUGCCCUGCACUCCAGCCUGGGCGACAGAGCAAGACUCCAUCUCAAAAAAAAAAAAAAAAAAGAAAAAGAAAAAAGAAAAAGUCCAUUGUUGCCCUCCCAUGAAGGCAAACUGUUCCUGGCUCUCUGGACAAGAAGUCCCAGUUCCGUUGUCAAGCGGUCGGCAAGUCCGUGACAGACAAUACAGCUGCCAAGCCGUGCAAAACAUCCACCCCCAGAAUGUCUUCAGGUAUGUGAGACACAUACACAGUGCAUAAGUGGAGAGCCAAGCAGCGGAUGCCAAGAUGCAAAGACACAGGUUUUACUUUCACUGACCAACUUUCAUAGCUGUUCAUGCGGCUCUGCCCGGAAACUUAUCCGGGUUCAGAGACCAGUGGAUUGCCAAAUCCACAUGUGGCUCUGGUUUUCCAGUGCCCCGCAAGCCGGCACCUUGGCCAGUUCUCUUAUCAAGCAGAAAAGGCUUUACACUUCCGCCAACUGCAGCAGGUACUCUUUGAACUGGAAUGCUCGAGUAGGACUAGGUUGCGCAGCAAUGUCCUUCUCCCGAAUGACUUGCACUAAGUCUGUACACAACUGGCGACAUUAGUUGCUUAACUCCCUCAAUUCAGCGGGGACACAGGCACCAUAGGAAAUGUGUUCCACCACGAUGGGGGGUCUCUGGGCCUCCUCUUGGGGCCCAACAGCUGUUCAUGCUCUAUUUUCUGACGGACUACCGGGCAAGCCUGCAACGGAGGUUCCUCCUCCCUGCGCUGCAUCCUGCAGGGAUUGGGCAUUCAUUUCCCUCAGCAUAGUCGCAAAUGCCCAUCUGACUCUGCUGGCAAAGGCCCUGUCCUACCAUGAGCUGAAGAGGCAGCAACAUACGUGUUUGGAGUUUAGUAGGGACUGAGAAGCGGGGAAAAGAACUGCCUAACCAAAGGUAUUGUUUCCACCUGACUUCCAAGAUGUCAGAAAAUUCUCCCUAGUAGAUACUCUUUUAUACAUGGACAUUAGCUAUUGUUGUUAAAAUGAAAACAGGUUAAACCUAUUACGUUAUCAUCACCUAUCAAUAAUUUAGACUAUCAGCUUAUCAGAUUUAUUAGUCUUGUAGUGAAAUCCUGUUGUUAAACAGCACAGAAACAGGAGAGAAGAAAGAAUUGUCUAAGUCUGCACUGUCCAAC
rnacentral:lncRNA from 10 species